GUGCUCGCUUUGGCAGCACAUAUACUAAACUUGGAAAGAUACAGAGAAGAUUAGCAUGGUCCCUGUGCAAGGAUGACAUGCAAAUUCGUGAAAAAGGUGAAAUCUAU
rnacentral:snRNA from 1 species